rnacentral:rRNA from 1 species
AUUGAACGCUGGCGGCAGGCCUAACACAUGCAAGUCGAGCGAGCGGCGGACGGUUGAGUAAUGUCUGGGUACCUGCCUGAUGGAGGGGGAUAACUACUGGAAACGGUAGCUAAUACCGCAUACCAUCGGAUGUGCCCAGUUGGGAUUAGCUAGUCGGUGGGGUAACGGCUCACCUAGGCGACGAUCCCUAGCUGGUCUGAGAGGAUUAACAGCCACAAUGGAACUGAGACACGGUCCAGACUCCUACGGGAGGCAGCAGUGGGGAAUAUUGCACAAUGGGGGCAAGCCUGAUGCAGCCAUGCCGCGUGUGUGAAGAAGGCGUUAGGGUUGGAAAGAACUUUCAGCGGGGAGGCGUUACCCGCAGAAGAAGCACCGGCUAACUCCGUGCCAGCAGCCGCGGUAAUAC